UACAGGGGGUGCAAACGUUGCUCGGAAUCAUUGGGCGUAAAGCGCACGUAGGCGGUUCGUUAUGUCGGAUGUGAAAGCCCUUGGCUUAACCGAGGAAGUGCAUCCGAAACUGGCGAGCUAGAGUACUAAAGAGGAUCGCGGAAUUCCCGGUGUAGAGGUGAAAUUUGUAGAUAUCGGGAGGAACACCGGUGGCGAAGGCGGCGAUCUGGGUAGAUACUGACGCUGAGGUGCGAAAGCGUGGGGAGCAAACAGG
rnacentral:rRNA from 1 species